UCGUAGUAGAACCUUGGGCCUGGCUGGCCGGUCCGCCUCACCGCGUGCACUGGUCCGGCCGGGCCUUUCCCUCUGCGGAACCGCAUGCCCUUCACUGGGUGUGCCGGGGAAGCAGGACUUUUACUUUGAAAAAAUUAGAGUGCUCCAGGCAGGCCUAUGCUCGAAUACAUUAGCAUGGAAUAAUAGAAUAGGACGCGUGGUUCUAUUUUGUUGGUUUCUAGGACCGCCGUAAUGAUUAAUAGGGACAGUCGGGGGCAUCAGUAUUCAAUUGUCAGAGGUGAAAUUCUUGGAUUUAUUGAAGACUAACUACUGCGAAAGCAUUUGCCAAGGAUGUUUUCAUUUAUCAGGAACGAAAGUUAGGGGAUCGAAGACGAUCAGAUACCGUCGUAGUCUUAACCAUAAACUAUGCCGACUAGGGAUCGGACGAUGUUAUUUUUUGACUCGUUCGGCACCUUACGAGAAAUCAAAGUGCUUGGGCU
rnacentral:rRNA from 1 species